UUUUUUUAGUAUUGUCUGCUGAUUAGAGUUCUUUUUUAAAAAACAUUAUUUACCAUGUAAGAUUUCCGACAUACCACAUGCAAUCCCAUUUAAAGUGGAACCAGAAGUUAAAGACACCUGCAGCACAAUCUGAGGACAGAAUUCUUCUAGAUUUUAAAUUGUUUUCUUCAAUCUUUUACAUUUGCCUUGUUCACACCUAAUUCAAAAGCAUUUUUAUUAAUGACCCAUUUUUACUGAGUCUUUCAAAAACAUCCAAUUUGGUUUUCACUGAGACAAUUUUCUUUUUGAGUUCAUACUUCAUCAGUAUGUGAGAACAUUUAAUUAAAUCUUGCAACUUAGUAACAAGUACAACUGGCACACACAGGUUUGAGAAGAAACACAGUUGACUUUCAGAAACACACAACUCAGCUGGGAAGAGCAGGUGUGCACAGGACAUGGAAAUAGCCUUAGAACUGUGAUUGGUCAGGGUUUUGGCAUUAGUCCUAUUUUAUAAAAGGAUUGUGAAGUGUGAGUGAUUCCGGUGACUGGGUCAGGUGGAGGCUGGUUUAGAAUACAUAAAUUAUAUCUAUUAUAUAUACACAUAUUUAUUAGAUGUAUUACUAUAUUUUACAUAAAUCAAAACAAUAUAUAAGCACAUAUUUCUGAGGUUUUAUAUUUAUACUACCCAGGCACUUGUAUCUGUCAUCAAUUUCAUGUUUAAUAACCUAAUGUGAGUUUAAGUUCUAACAUAAAAAAAUUAUAGGCUAGGUGCAGUGGUUCAUGCCUGUAAUCUCAGAACUUUGGGAGACCGAGGUGGGAGGAUCACUUGAGGCUAGGAGUUUGAGACCAGCCUGGGCAACAUAGCAAGACUCUGUCUCUACAAAAAAAUUUAAAAAAAUAGCCAGUGUGGUGGUGCAUACCUGUAGUCUCAGCUGCUUGGGAGGCUGAGGUGGGAGGAUCACUUCAGCCCAGGAGUUCAAGGCUACAGUGAGCUAUGAUCACCACUGUCCUCUAGCCUGGGUGACAGAGUGAGAUUCUGUCUCAAGAAAAUUAUAAUCUAGGUUGUCAGACAUCAGGUUUUAUAGGGACAAUUUCCCCUUUCAUAUUAGAGUUCUUGAGCUAUGUAUCACACAGCAGGACACCUCAGCAGGUGUGGAGGUAAUGAUAUAAAGAUGCCUGGAUUAGUGAGGAAGGCAGACUAACAAAAUUAGAGCUAUAACUAUCUAGGUGAGGUCACAAAAGGCCAAAGACAAAUAGGCAUGCACGAAGUGGGGACUCCUUCUUGAAGUCCUCCCAGAAGUCUCCCUUCUGGCUCCCCGACUAUGCUGAUCCCAUGACUGUUGGUGCACUGAAUCCUGCUUGGUGUCUUGGAGUCUCUCAGCCUAUAGUUAUUGCUCCUAUUGUUAUUGCAGUCUGCAGCCUAUAGUUAUUGCUCAAAUGACAAAGGAAGACAGGUGAGAGGAGGCGUGAGGACAUGCUCCAGUGGGAGCAGAGACUCUGGACUCGCCUUGCAUGCCUAGCACAGUGCUUAGCUCACAGAAGACACUCACUACAUAGUUUUUAAAUAGGUGAAUGGGGAAAAUAGAGAGGUUAUAGAAAAAAAUAGUUAAAUCAGACCAAAAAAAUGACAUAAAGCAGCAGCACUGAUUUUCUUGAGCGGCUGAUAAACUGUUUCUGCAUGAAAUUUCAAACAAAGAGCUCCCAGAUGGUUUUGAGCAAUUGCAGCCUACAUGGGUAAGUGGAUAAACUUCCAAAAAGGCUACUUGAGAAGACCAACCUCAAUUGGCUGAUAAAUUCUGCUUGUCUAUUUAACAAGCAAAACUAAACUAUACGUGGUUUAGGUAUACACACAUAUAUGACAAAAACUCUGAAGUUUGUGUUUAUUAUUCUCCUUCUCUGUUUUAAAGAGAAGGAUGGGUGAGGAAGGCAGAUUCAUCUGGAGGUAGGUAAGCAAAGUGCCAGGAUAGGGUGGUGGAUUCAUGGGUGUUUAUUAUAUAAGUAUGUUUAAUACCACACAGAUCAUGUAAUUUUUAUAUGUAUCAGCUAUUAUCUUAAAAAUAUAACAAAACAAAAACCAGUUGCACUACUUUCUAAAGCCUCCAGCAAAUUCAGCUUUUUAAAACAGCUGAUUAGAGGAAAAAAUGUCAGCUGACAACUAUUAUUAUUAGGCAGGUUUGGGAUGUGUGAUGGACAUGGAAAGACUUGUACAUUCAGGAGAGAAUGUGACAUGGUUGCAAGUGGCUGCCCAGCUAGAAUUCUGAGGCUUUUUGUGAGAAAUCACGUGGUGGGAAGCCUGAAGGAAGGAAAACCAUCAGGAAUACACUUCAGAACUUGCACAGUCUUAAAGGCAAGUUUGCCUGGCAGGGUGCAAAGUUGCCAGAGAGGCCCAGAAAGCGGGAAUCCUGUUAGGGAUGCAGGCACUGGGACAAGCAGCCCUUUGAUCCUGAACAUCUGUACUGCUCCAGGAAGCAUUGCUACAAAAAGAAUAAAAUACCUAGGAAUCCAACUUACAAGGGAUGCGCUGGACCUCUUCAGGGAGAACUGCAAACCACUGCUUAAGGAGAUAAGAGAGGACACAAACAAAUGGAAAAACAUUCCAUGCUCAUGGAUAGAAUCAAUAUUGUAAAAAUGGCCAUAUAUUCCAAAGUAAUUUAUAGAUUCAGCUAUUUCCAUUAAACCACCAUUGACAUUCUUCACAGAAUUAGAAGAAACUACUUUAAAAUUCAUAUGGAAACAAAAAAGAGCCUGUAUAGCCAAGACGAUACUAAGCAAAAGAACAAAGCUGGAGGCAUCACACUACCUGACUUCAAACUAUACUACAAGACUACAGUAACCAAAACAGCAUGGUACUGGUACAAAGACAGACACAUAGACCAAUGGAACAGAAUAGAGAUCUCAGAAAUAAGACCACACAUCUACAACCAUCUGAUCCAAAUUUGACAAACCUGUCAAAAACAAGCAAUAGGGAAAGGAUUCCCUAUUUAAUAAGUGGUGCUGGGAAAACUGGCUAGCCAUAUGCAGAAAAUUGAAACUGGAACCCUUCCUUAUGCCUUAUAUGAAAAUUAACUCAAGAUGGAUUAAAUACUUAAAUGUAAAACCUAAAACUAGGAGAAACACUAGGAGAAAAUCUAGGCAAUACCAUUCAGGACAUAGGCAUGGGCAAAGAUUUCAUGACAAAAAUAUCAAAAGCAAUUACAACGAAAGCAAAAAUUGACAAAUGGGAACCAUCAAGGAGGUAGAAAAAUAGACGAUCCUAGAUCAUCACGAAAACAACGAAAUAACCCCAACUAUUUCUAAAAAUUUUCUCUAAGCUGCCUAAGCGAAAAAUCUCUCUAAAAUGGCUCUCUUCUGACUGCCGUAACUGUAAACUAACAGUUUAUCUUAAGGUUUUAUGUGUUAAAUAAGGGAAGUGUGGAGAACUAUAAAAAUAUCAUGAUACUGUAUCACAGUAAUUCAUACAAUUUCAUAUAUUGGUCAUUAAGUUGUCUAUUAAAUCAAACUAAAUACACUGUAGACAAAGAGAUUCUGAAGUUCAGCAUUCAGAGUAACUGAAAUACAAUGUUUGAGGUUAUUUCUUUAAAAAGGUAGGCAUCAGAUUUUUGAUCAGUUACCCUAAUGUUCUAUUAUCGGCUGUCACCAUGGGAAAAUCAGAUCUCUCACAGCGUUUCGACUUUGGGACCUUUUUCCAGCAAUUAAACCUACUGUAAGUGGGGGAAAUGCCUGUAUACAGCCACUUACGCCAGGCUCAGGUUCACAAAUCUUCCCAUUCCCAAGGAAGGCAGCACACAGGCUCCUACUAGGAAUCACAGCCAAGUUCUCAAACAGGCAUAUCUCACUAGAAGUGCUUCCUAAAAGGUGGAUUGUUUUUAUUCCAUUGAAUUAAUUCUACUGAAUUACAAACUUGCCAUUUUCACUAUAAUAAGUCCCCUUUCAAAGUGUGUUGACAUUUCUGGUGGUUCUGAAUAGCUCAAAAUGGUUUGCUGGACUCUCAGAGCUGACUUGAGAGACUACUUGGAUCUGGUUGUUUUCAAAAGCUGUUGGGUGGUAGAGCCUGGGGAGCUAUGCUGCACCUGAUAGAAGAACACUAUGACGUUAUUACCAACUGCUUUCGUCUUCUGAACUAGGAGAAAACAAGGUACACAAAAGAGUUAUCACAACAUGCCCAUGAGUUAAGCACAGCUGGCAGUUUUCCUGUUAAUAUUUGCUUACUUCUUGUUUCCCACCACCCCCCUCCGCCUCCGGGUGGGGAGUGCAGGGUGCUGCAAAAGAUGAAGCAGCAACAAAGUUAAGAAAACACAGGACAGAUGAAAACUUACAGUGAGGAAAUUUUAAUCUGCUUACUUUAUUUUUCUUUGAAUUGGGAAAAGACUGCCAUAAUUUGAUUUUAGCAGGAAAUAGUAUUUCCCCAGUGUAUAGUUUCAGAAUGAAUGGGCCAGUCCAGCAUCUCAGAGAGAGUGACAUGGAAGCCCAGAUGCAUCUUCUGUGGAUGGUCCUUUAGAGACCUGAUGGAGGCUGAUCCCUCCUGCCCUCCAGGAAGCAUAUCUGAUGUGCCACUUCCUGCAACAAGUCCCGUACCUUCUUAUCCUCCACGCUGUCUCCCCCUGUAUUUCAUCACGAAGAUAUGUGGCUGUAUGUGUGGGACGGGGAUUCUACCUGAUGCAGCUGCAGCAGAGGCCCCAGGGCUCCCCAAAGAAGACCACCUGGAAGGCUUCCUGGAGGUGCAGGCCAAGAAGGAAGCUGUGAAGGAUGACAUCAGUGUUCAUCCAUGGAAAAAUGAGUUGUACUUCUGCUAAUGUCAAGGGCAAGACUCAAAUUCAAAAAACAUCACCACUACCAAUAAACAAAACCAAAGGGAAAGGAUUCCUUAUCAGCAGACAGUUACAGCUCCCACUAGGACACUGCCUUCUCAGCGGCUUCAGUUAUCAGAUAUUCCUGGACAUACUUUCCAAGCCAUGAAAAAUAACCAGAGCCACAGCUUUCCCAGCACUCUGACAAACAUCCAUGAGCCCCCAAAGACCGGGAAGUAAUGAUGAUGCAGCUGCGGCACCAUAGAAGAAACAAGUGAUUUCAGUCAAAGGGCCUGGACUCACGAGCUAGCAACUUUGGACAGAUUCUUGAACUCUCAGCCUCAGUUUCUGCUUCUGUAAAGGGAGAUAACUACAGUGACCUUCAGGUUAUCUUGAAGAUGCCAAUGAGCUAGUGAAAAUGCAAUUUAAUCUGUACAGAACUAAACAAAUGUAAGUCAGUGCUAAUAUUCUGUUCCUAGUGGGGACAUGCCAAGUCUCUUUACUGCAACCAGUGGUUCACAUAUGGAAAUAUUGUGCUAAUUUCCAACUCCUACUUAUAUAUAUGAUUUGUUAACUCUGGAGGAUGCAGCCAUCAGCAUAAGCAACCAACAGAAGAACACGCUGGAUCCUCUCCUUUUCCUGACAGUGUGUAGUCUUCAUGGGGGUGGACAGGCUAGAUUUAAAACGAUGGGCGGAUUGAUUAUUUUUCUGCAUCUAUUUCCAGGGUUGUAAUGUAUAUUCUCUUUCUCCCACAUCCCGCCUUCUAUUUUCUUCUCCCUACACAGGCUCUUUUAAUACAAAUUAAUUAAAAGCAGGCAUCUUAAGAGGUGGCUUAAGAAGACUCCUGCAUCAUCAUAGGGAGUUAAAAUUCUGAGCAAAAAGCCUUCUGGAGGAGAAGCAUAGGACAGGCAGCCCCAAGACUGGACUGGAUAGAUGUUGCUGAGCCACCAACUCUCUGAGGGACCUGAGACAAAGCCAGGUGACCUCACCAGUGCUCCAUGUUCUCACCAUAAGUUCUAUAGGACACUCAAAUAUUCUCAGGACAUCAGUUUACUAUACACAUGCACACACACAUAUUUUACAUUUCAUUCAAAGGGUAAAACAUAGACUCCCUUUGUUCUAUAAACCUACAAACAUGUCUGAGCAUUUUUUACAUAAAUAUUUCACAAAUAUUUUACAUGAAUACUUCGACUUAUAAGUCCAUAUUUUAACAAUGGCAUCUUUUCCAAUGUGUACAUUAUGGAAGUGUGGUUGGGGUGUACAGCCUAGGAGCUCAGGGACUGCACAGGCCUGUUCUUUAUGGAUGCAUUGCAUUCAUCUCCCACAGCCAUUUGUAGCUUCAGCUGUUUCUGAAAGCAGCCACUUUCCCUUUUGAUGUCUGAGGUCCAUUAUUUUCAUUUUUGACUUAACCAACAGGUGUUCUCUCUUGAACUCUUUCCUACAUGAGCUGUCUUGCCUCAGGGUUCCCACGGACAGGAGAGUUUUUCCUACAGUGUUACUGAGAGGCACAGAGAAAUCAGUUCCUCCUGGUCCACUGGCUCCGCUCUCAGCACUGCAGUCUCUUGUGACCACGCUGAAGUCUCAACGUUUCCCCCUUCUGAGGACAUGCAGGGACAGAAGGGUGAACCACAAGGGCCAGACCUAAUGCUCCAGGAAAACAAUGAAAGAACAAUUUUCCAUCCUUUUAUUUAGGGCUUAAGUAAGCCAGGCCUGUAACACCAAAUUGUGAGAGUGCACAAGAUGUUUUUGAACCUUGGUGCAGAAUCCAGAAAGAAGUGCAGCCUCUGGUGACAGGGUCUUGGGCUAGCCAUGUGAAGCCUGGCUUUAUGUCAGGCCUCUCAAAUGUGCUGUACAAACCUACCUGCAGGUCUACUCUAGGCAGAAGGGGUGGACCGAUGGCACCAACAAACACAUCUGUACACACAACAGUGCAGCAGACACUUGUGGAUGGGGUAUGAGACAAGCUGUAGAUGCCCUCAAUUAAAUCUGAGGACAAAAGAAGACUGCCCAGAGAGUGGCACUAGCAUGGCAACAAAAUAUUUCAAAAUAUUAAUGGGUUUUACAUACACGCAUAAAAUCACAUUUUUCUGACCUUAUAACACAUUUCAGUCAUUUAGGUAUUGAGUUUGUAAUGCUUGUGGAUACUCGAAAAAUUGAAAGAGGCAAAGUUAGACUUCUUGUCCCCAAGACUGGAAAUAUGUCCCUUCGUUGGGAGUUGGGUGGUGUUGAAUGCAGUUGGGGUGGAAGGAGAGGAGAGCUAAUGGGAAAACAAAGAAUAAGUAAAUGUUCUACAUUCCUGAGAAAAGGGGCCCUGCCCCCUAGCCAUCUCUGCAGCAAAGCCCUGGGGGAGAGAGAGAGAAUGCUCAGACAUGUUUGUAGGUUUACAGAACAAAGGGAAUCUAUGUUUUACCCUUUGAAUGAAAUACAGGAAAGCAAAAUACCUAGAGCAGAAAUGGCUGUGUGACAUGUCAGACAAGGUCAUAGAGUUUUCCAUGGCCCUGCACUGCCCGUGGCUCAUGUGGCAUGACUGUAGGUGAAACCCAGAAUGGACUCUCAAGGUGCCCUGGGCUCCCUUCCUCAAUGGCUGAAGAAGGCUUCUCUUGACCUAAUGGAGUUUAAAGAGACUUGGGGAUAUAGUGAACUAGACCCCAGAAGCCUUUCAAACAGGAACUAGGGGGCGCCCACCAGGACCUUGUGGACUGACAGUGGAGGCUCAAUGAGACAAAAUGUGUCAUGGAGAUGCCUUCAGGACAGACAGCAUUCGGGAACAGAUACCAGCUCCUUACAGUCUUGGCCUCCAGAUUAGACAUGGCCCUGGAAAAAGGUGAUGGGGGACCUGGAAUUACCAGACAGCAAUUCCGUUCCCCCACUUAGUGGAAUGGGAGCACAACAUGUAAAUUAAAGGAAUUAGAGAAAAACA